rnacentral:rRNA from 1 species
GUUCCAUAGUGAUAGUUUUGGAAUGUAUAUCCUGAAAGAUCCGUCCCCUUAGGAUGAGAGGGCGUCCGAUUAGGUUGGUGGCGGGGUAACGGCCCACCAAGCCAUUGAUCGGUACGGGUUGUGGGAGCAAGAUCCCGGAGAUGGAUUAUGAGACAUGAAUCCAGGCCCUACGGGGCGCAGCAGGCGCGCAAACUUUACAAUGCGAGCAAUCGUGAUAAGGAAACCCUGAGUGCCUGUCGAUGCAGACUGUUCAUAUAUGUAAAUCAUAUGUGAAGAAAGGGCAGGGCAAGACCGGUGCCAGCCGCACGCGGUAAUACCGGCUGCUCGAGUGAUGGCCACUAUUACUGGGUUUAAAGCGUCCGUAGCUUGACUGUUAGGUCUAUUGGGAAAUCUUCACGCUCAACGUGAAGGCGUGUAAGAGAUACCGGCAGUCUUGGAACUGGGAGAGGUAAACCGUACUUCGGGGGUAGGAGUGAAAUCUUGUAAUCCUCGAGGGACGACCUAUGGCGAAGGCAGUUUACCAGAACAGCUUCGACAGUGAGGGACGGAAGCUGGGGGAGCAAACGGGAUUAGAUACCCCGGUAGUCCCAGCCGUAAACAAUGUGCGUUAGGUGU